UGAUGAUGGUGUGGACAACUUAGCGACAUGGAUUUAAACCUGUCCCAAGCUUUAUACAAGUUUUCUCCUCUUUUCUAUCGAAAGUUUAAUAUCUCGCUUCUUAACUA